UGUGAACUGCAACAGCUUCUCGCCACUAUGACCACGCCGCCGGUUGAUCUCGCCACUGCAUCGUCGUUGCCAUCUGGGUUGUUUCGCAGGCGGGGGAAGGAGAAGGAAGGGAAGAGACGUUUGAUUUGGAGGCCGAUUGCCGCAGAAUCUGGUUGCAAGGCCGAGCUAUGUUGGAAGGGGCUAGGGUUGGAUAUCUCGGUGGACUCCAGAUUGGAACGCUCGAAAGGACUCUCCUAUGUCUUUGCCGAUUUAUGGACCUUGAUUCGGCGACGAAUCGUAGGUCGAGAUCUAUCGUGGCUAGGGUCCAAUUGGAAAUUGAUGUUGCAAAACCGGUGUUAGAUGGUGUAUGGAUUCAGAUUGUGAGUGAGAAAGGAGAAUGGAGACGAUUGUGGCAGAGUAUUGAGCCGGAGAAACUUCCGACGUACUGUGGGAGAUGUGGCCGAUAUGGUCAUGCCGCGGAGGUUUGCUAGGGCGCUGUUGGGAGGGAAAGACUGCCGGAGGUGGUAGAAACGGUGGAGGAGAGGUCGAUAGAGGAGGGGGUUGAAGCAUUCGAGCCUUGAGUUUAAUCUUACAUGCCAUAAUCUUUCUUCAUAUAGGAUCUCGUGUGCAAGACAUUUUAUGACUUCUGGUUCUAUGAAUCUUCUGGUUCACAUAGUCAGUUUUAUGGAGAUGGCAGUUCUGUUUCAAUUGAGGUGUCUAAGAAAACUGAGCAAAUUGUUGACAUGAUGAGAAGGAUGCCAACCCAUCAACCUCUUGUAACUGUGAUUAAAUGUAACUUAGCCCUUGAUUUUUUCUUCCACAGUCCGCUAAAGCUGCUGGUAUCAACCCUGUAUCACUUGCUUCAGUUCGUAAGCGUUGUAAGCUUAUGUGCAAUUGCUUGUUGGAGAAAAUACUACAGGUUCUUUGUUUUAACUUUUAAUGCGUGUUGUUUGUUGGUU